CCCCAGUAAACGGCGGCCGUAACUAUAACGGUCCUAAGGUAGCGAAAUUCCUUGUCGGGUAAGUUCCGACCCGCACGAAAGGCGUAACGAUUUGGGCACUGUCUCAACAACAGACUCGGUGAAAUUGUAAUUCCGGUGAAGAUGCCGGAUACCUGCGACAGGACGGAAAGACCCCAUGGAGCUUUACUGUAGCUUGACAUUGGGUCUUGGUACUACAUGUACAGGAUAGGUGGGAGGCUUUGAAACCAGGACGCCAGUUUUGGCGGAGCCAUCCUUGGGAUACCACCCUUGUAGUACUGGGACUCUAACCAUAGGCCAUGAAUCUGGUCUUGGGACACUGUCAGGUGGGCAGUUUGACUGGGGCGGUCGCCUCCCAAAAGGUAACGGAGGCGCUCAAAGGUUCUCUCAGUACGGUCGGAAAUCGUACGUAGAGUGUAAAGGCAAAAGAGAGCUUGAUUGCAAGACAUACAGGUCGAGCAAGGAUGAAAAUCGGACUUAGUGAUCCGGUGGUUCUGCGUGGAAGGGCCAUCGCUCAACGGAUAAAAGCUACCCUGGGGAUAACAGGCUUAUCUCCCCCAAGAGUCCACAUCGACGGGGAGGUUUGGCACCUCGAUGUCGGCUCAUCACAUCCUGGGGCUGUAGUAGGUCCCAAGGGUUGGGCUGUUCGCCCAUUAAAGUGGUACGCGAGCUGGGUUCAGAACGUCGUGAGACAGUUCGGUCCCUAUCCGUCGCAGGCGUAGGAAAUUUGAGAAGACCUGUCCUUAGUACG
rnacentral:rRNA from 1 species